rnacentral:rRNA from 1 species
AGAGUUUGAUCCUGGCUCAGAACGAACGCUGGCGGCAGGCCUUAUACAUGCAAGUCGAGCGCGCCCUUCGGGGUGAGCGGCGGACGGGUGAGUAACGCGUGGGAAUAUGCCCUUCUCUAAGGAAUAGCCUCUGGAAACGGAGAGUAAUACCUUAUACGCCCUUUGGGGGAAAGAUUUAUCGGAGAAGGAUUAGCCCGCGUUAGAUUAGGUAGUUGGUGGGGUAAUGGCCUACCAAGCCUACGAUCUAUAGCUGGUUUGAGAGGAUGAUCAGCCACACUGGGACUGAGACACGGCCCAGACUCCUACGGGAGGCAGCAGUAGGGAAUCUUAGACAAUGGGGGCAACCCUGAUCUAGCCAUGCCGCGUGUGUGAUGAAGGCCCUAGGGUCGUAAAGCACUUUCGCCAGAGAUGAUAAUGACAGUAUCUGGUAAAGAAACCCCGGCUAACUCCGUGCCAGCAGCCGCGGUAAUACGGAGGGGGUUAGCGUUGUUCGGAAUUACUGGGCGUAAAGCGCACGUAGGCGGAUUAGUAAGUUAGAGGUGAAAUCCCAGGGCUCAACCCUGGAACUGCCUUUAAUACUGCUAGUCUUGAGUUCGAGAGAGGUAAGUGGAAUUCCGAGUGUAGAGGUGAAAUUCGUAGAUAUUCGGAGGAACACCAGUGGCGAAGGCGGCUUACUGGCUCGAUACUGACGCUGAGGUGCGAAAGUGUGGGGAGCAAACAGGAUUAGAUACCCUGGUAGUCCACACCGUAAACGAUGAAUGCCAGACGUCAGCAAGUAUACUUGUUGGUGUCACACCUAACGGAUUAAGCAUUCCGCCUGGGGGAGUACGGUCGCAAGAUUAAAACUCAAAGGAAUUGA